CCCUUAGCACCAACUCAUCCAGCACUAUAAAGCCCAAAGUGGUAGUAAAGGGCAACGGUAUUCUCCACCUCUGCUAGCUCAAUCCACCUCUGCUAGCUCAAGAUCAUGGAGCGGGGAUCGUCCUCCCGGCGUGGGAUGCUGCAACCGCCUUCUCGUCGAAUCGACUCUUCGCCUAUGAUAUUGGGAGUCGCGGCAAGAAGCUCAACCAGAGGCUUGAUGCCAUCAAGAAGCUCAACCAGAGACUUGAUGCAAUCAAGAAGCACAACCAUAUGGAAAAUUUAUUGGUGCACGCCGGGUGCCUCAACAGGUAACUGCCCGGAGCAAAGUCGACGGGGUGAAGUUGUCGAGAAAGGUGCGAAGUCACGUCGCAGACGUGGAGUUUCCAUCCCAGGUGUCUCAGCAACACGUUCGGGAUGAUAUAUUUGUCAUCGUCGCACCACAUUUAGGUGUGUGCAUAAGCCAUUUGUGUAAAUGCAUAAGGGCAAAGACUGUUCAGGGAAGAAUACUAACACCUCAACUUGGAUUUGUAAGUUUUGUAAGUUGUGUGUUCUCAUAGAUGCAUUCUUAUUGAUACUUUAUAUGUGCUUCAACAUGGAUUCCUUGGUUCAUAUUAAUUGCAGGUUAUGCUAUUGUCAUGAACUUCAAGCAAUGGAUGUUUUUUCUUUUACUUUCUUGUUUUUGUGAAUGUCAAUUUCAUAUACUUCACUGGCAUUAAAGUAAAAUAUUCAUAUCUUACUGGUAUUAUAUAUUCUGUAUUUAGAGGGCAUAGCUAAUUUUCUUGCUGGUUUUUUAGUUUUACAUGUGUUGUUGACCGACAAAGAUUAUGCCAAUGUCACGAGAAGCUUAUCAUAAUAAAUUUGUGGGAUGGAGCUUCAGGAGUUUGCUGAUUUUUCUUUACAGCUUAUGGACUUUCUAAGAAGGAAUGUAAAGCGGAGGCACCAGAGCUUCCUCUCUCAAAUCUUGGUCUGGUCAGUUAUAUAGGCUAUUGGACUAGAGUAGUUUUGGAAAUUCUUGAAGAAACAUAAGAGCAAUUUAUUUAUCAAUGUUAACACUGUCUUCCUUUCCUUCUAUCCUACUUUAUUGCUUUAGAUUUUGUAUUAUCCUUUUUUUCUCGAGAAGAAUGCAGAAGACUUGCAUCUCAAUUGAAAGGUAGAAACGAGGGCAGAAUACAUGAAACAAACAACAAACGAAAAUACAGAUUAAUGUACAUUCCAAUCCCUUGGUAGAGUAGUGUGCAAAUCUAGAGCCCCUGAACGGUUCCCCUUAUUUGUACCAUUUUCAACAGCUGAUCCAACUGUGAUGUAGUAGCCAACACCUUUUCGUUUUAUUGGAUCCAUAUGAUGAAUUCGAUUUACUUUAUCCAAUUUGUCUGCUGUUGUUCCUUUCAAUGUCAAGCAAAACUAGGAUUUAUAAUUUAUCAUUUAUAGUUGACUUAUUGACUUAUUAUCAUUUAUAGUUGACUUAUUGAAAAAUGAUGAAUAUAUUCUCAUGGAUAUAUUACAGAACCUUUUCUAAUGAUGCACAUCGGCUUCACGCUUCCAAUCUUCUAUCUAGGGUAGCCGAACAUGGUUCACUUGAAACGGUUUUGUAAUGAUGAGAAUAUCUUUCUCCCUUCUGGUUUUGGUAGUUAAGAUAUAUGCAACCAAAUAAUGUCAGAUGGUGGUCAGUGAUAGUUUAAACCUUGAAUACUGUUUGUAUUUUCCCCUUAUGCUUAUAGCAGGUACCUAUUCUACAAUGCUCUGAAAGAUUUUGUUCACUGUAGAAGAGCAGCAUUCAUUUGAUGGCUUCUUUUAUGUAGGAUUCCCUUAUAUAUUGUUUUAGCUUCUUAUGCAUUUCAAAAGUAGCUAUAUACAUAGAGAUAGGGCAAGGGUGUGCAAGAAGUGGUUGUAUGAUCUGAAACAUUAUAAUAUUAUUAUCACAUUCUCUCUGUAAGAGGCGUUUGUGAGGUUGCAACCUAUAUAUUAGAUACCCUGUCUGUUGUACUGUUUUAAAUUCAAUUUGCAAAUCAGCCAACACAUUGCACAACCAAACCACAUAGAUAUAUGCAAUCUAUUGGUUUUACUACUGUGAUUUGUUUGCAACUGAAUAAUUUGCUUUUGUCUUAUUAACUUAGGCCAGUCAGCCAUUUAUUAAGGUGGCACCACUAUAAAGUGUCGACAAGAAAGAGUAUGGGCCGCUGUAGGCACAUCGUACAUGAGCACGACUCUGGCUGUACCGACGGACAACGAGAGGUAACGUUAGUUCACUGAUGAACUGUUUUUAGUUUCAGCAUAUGAUUAUUCGACCAAAUACUGUCAACAUACUAUUGUCCUGCUCGCCAAGUAUUGCCAACAUAAGAACAUAGCUGAUAAAUUUGCUACUCGAGCCGUAACUACGCAACCAUUAAUUUUUUUUAGUGUUUUCUUUUCCUUUUGAGGUUUAUUAUCAGGUAUGUAGAUGCAUGGUGUUGCAUAAUGCAUCCCAUGCUUUGCUUAAUCUGUUGUUAUGCUACUCGUGUUCUAAGCCAAAUGCUUCUUUAGAUGUGUUCUAAGCCAAAUGCUUCUUUAAAUGUGUUCUAAGACAAAGGUGUUUCUAUUAUUGACCCUCAUGUUAAAUUUUGUCGCUUUGAAUGUAUACUUAGUGGUAAUUAAUUGCAAGGUGAUAGCAUUAUGAUAAAACUGAAAUUGGAAUAAAUAAUUUGUGUCACUUUUAAAUGUAUAACAAUUUAGAACAAAUUUCUUCUCGCAAGAAUGGUUACAAUAACUGAAUUAUGGUAAAAUUGAUAAUGCGUCCUUGUGAAUGCCGUACUAAGCCAUUUCAGAUUGGGUCACCUAUGCCCUUCAUGUUCCUCUGUUUCGCUAUCUUUGUCGAUAGCUCAAUAUAUCCAUGCCAUUGUUGAGGCAAGGGUAGCGCCUAUCCUGAUCGUUUAUAGCAUGUUUAUUUGACACUUAUCCAUUAGUAAUUUAUCGUGUAUAUUUAUAUUGUGAUCUAUACGAAUUCAUCACGCAAAUUCCUCUAGGUAAUCUUGCUGUUUGUGGAGAAUAUUUCUCUUGCAGGCCAAUGAGGUGCUGAGAUAAGUGCUCAGGUUUACCUUGAAACAUAUAGUCUCUGAGUUGAUUGACCUGGAUAUUUGAGAAAAUGAGCAUACCAGAUUUUUUUGUAAUGUUUUCCUGACCAAGCUUAGCACUGCACCUCGUCUUCGUUAUUGCCACAAAUCUUUGGCCCCUUAUGGUAUUGGAUAUAGGUGAUUUGAUCCAGAGUGUGCAGGUACCAUUGGAAUGCCCAUGUAAUUACAUUUGAAACUUCUAGCUAUUUUUUUAGAUCUGCAAGUUUCCCAAUCUUCUUAGUAUGUCUUUUGUCGGUCGACUGAAAAUAAGGGAGAAGCUAGCUUUUCUUUCAAAUGCCAGACUUGGUUAUAUAUCUGGCUAAUUGGUCCCUUGAUAUACUGUUUUAUAUGGAAUUCAUUUGUCCUAAAUAGGCAGAUGCUUUGGUGUCCACACAUGCGUCUAUUGCCCAAUUUUCAAAUUCAAUGUCAGAUCCACGAAAAUAAAAGCUGUUUCGGUUCCAGUGGAACGUAUUUACUUUCAUGAAAAGAUGUGAAAAGAUGAGAUGUUACUGAUUUUUAAAUUUGUAACUUUUACUACAUAAUGUACCCAAUGACAACACUUUCUAGACUUCUACCUUUAUGUAAAUGAUAGGAAAAUAUUUCUGACUUGUAGUGAGCCUGAACACUGUGUAUUCAAUUUUAAUUCGACAGGAUAAGUAGGUCCCUCUUUAAUUUUUUAGAAACGAACUUGGAAACUUUGACAGUUUGCAUUCUUUCUAAUUAAAGAAGAUGCCUAUAGAAAGCAGAAUACACAAAGAAACUGCCUGUAGUUUAGUUGGCGAUUUCAAAAGGAAUCUUCUGUUUGAUGCUGAAACCGUUACGCUUAGCCAUUACAUCAAUGUAUAAGUUACUUGGUGGUAAGGUAUUCUUUCCCUCAUGAACAUUUGUAUUGAAGAAAUUGUUCUUUCUUCUUAUGAUAAUUAUAUAUACAUAUCAUACCCUUUUACUCUGUUUCUUUUAUUAUGCCCACCCAAGAAAAUGUACUGUGUUCCCCUUUUUACUUUGAUGGACUCGUAUUGGUGAUGAAAUUGAGAGAGUUGUGAUUUUGUGUGUAUAGCUGGGCGGAAUUGGCUGCGGAUCGAUCCAAAGUUCAUGUAUUCAGGCGCUACUUGCCGCAAGUAGGCCUUAGAUGUGAUUUUUCUGAUCUUAGAAAAUAACUCCAUGUGAAGAAACUGACUUAUUUGGUUCAUAAAUUCGUGCAUACAUUGCUUCCCAGUCUCUGUUAAAUGCAGUUAUUAGAAAGAUUUUACACAUUAUGGAUUCGAUUUCUGUUGAUGCAGGUUUAUUAAUAGUUAUCAUCUAUGUACUUAAUUAUCAUGGGUCGAUUCUCUUCCUUCUUUGUCAUGUAAGCUUUAGUAAAAUAAAUGGCUCCCAGAUGUGUAACUGUUAGUGCUUAACAUCAAGAUUUGUCUAUGCCACAUAAGAGGUGGCCUGGCCUAUCUGUGCUUGCAAUUUUGGGCAUGAAUUUUCCCCUUGAUACCAGACUCUACUAAUGUAUCGGGCUGUCUACUAUUUUUAUAAUCUUUACAAGGUUUGGCUUGAAUCGUUGUGUAAAUACUAGCACUUUUAGAAUCAGCCAAGGACAUUAUAUAUGUUUCUCCUUUUUUUUGUAUCAUAGCCCAUUAGCUUGCCUAUACACUAGCUUUGUACCAUACAAUACUUUCUUUUCAUAUAUUUAUAUUUAGUGUUAGCUUUGUCAAUUUUUGCAGCCGUUGCCGAGGUUCUUGAUAAUGCAAAUAACAAGGUCAAAAAUAAGGCUUAAUUGGCACCUAUAUAAUUUCAUAUAGUCUGGUUCCUUUUACUAAUAAUGUUUGUUUUCAGAAGGUACUGAUAAUGGAUUUGUUCUUUAUUGGUGCACAUAUGAAUUUUCAGAUGCAUCAGACGUGUUACUUCUACCCGCGUACAUAUAAAUUUCAGUAUGCUCAUAACUCAUUUAUUUUAGAGAAACCAAAUUUCAGCACAUGCACAAUUCAGGUUAGUCAGUGUAUUUUUCUUAUGUUAGCGUUCAGGUUAGGCAAUGCUCAUAAAUCAACCGUGUCAGAUUAACAAUGUUCGGGUAUAACCGUUGAAGAUCAAUCAUAGGGGUAGAUAACGCCUUAGUCCCCAUAAAUUUUCUGUAAUACUCUGCCAGAUAUUUUUUUGCUUAGCCUCCUGGGCGUAAUGUGGUAGUCCAUCAUGUUGAAUAAUUUUUUAUUUUAUUGGUUCUAAGCCUUGAUGGCACUCUUGCAUGAUAGAAGCUUGUAUCCUCGUCCCCUGGAAUGCGCCAGUUUACCUUCCCACGCUGUCUUGCUUCGCGAGCAAUAGAGUGAACUGAACUUUCAAUUUUUUUGCUUAACCAUAUCCCUGAAGAAGCGCUCUAAUUUUGUUAGGCGUCUACCUUCCUCAAGCCAAUCCAUAAAGGCCCCCCAAGGUAAACUUGUUCGCAUCCAGAGCUUUUCUGUCAGGUUUCAGAAUUUCCCCCCACCUCCCAAUAUUUAUUCUGGCUGUUUUAGAUUUCAGCUAAUCCAUUUCCUUGUGUCUUUAUUCAUGGGCAUGCAACUCCAGGUUACAGUGACCAAGUCGACAAAGCCAUUUCUGAACUUCCAAUUAUUGUUUUACCAGAAAAUCUUUGAUUUUGGGACAGUUGUCGAAGCUUCAAUUUUCAAAGGAGACAAUGAUCGGUAUGGGAGGAUCUCGAGUAUUGGAUACUACCUCCGACCCAAGGAAUAAGGCGCACGCGUAUUCCAAGACGAACUUUGACCGUAAAAAUUGAGCAACAAAAUCUUGAUUAUAUUAUAUGUAGUUAGUAUCGUUGGAUUCGUAUUGAAAUACACUUUCUAAUGAUACUAAUUUCAUACAAAAUAUAUUUAUAGAUUUAAAGAAAUUCUUGGUCAAACAAAAAGUACGUAAAACGAGGACGCCUUAUUCCUUGAAUCGGAGGUAGUAUGUCUGAUUUUAUCAAAGAAUUCAUCAUGUUCUGCGUCAACUGUUGGAACAUAAACAUUAGUUGCCCAGAGAUGGAAAUCUGAAUUUUCAGAUUGCAA